AUCAUCAUACUUACAUUAAAGCAUACACAUUUAGAAACAUUCUUCGGUUUAAUAUGAGGUUUAUAGAUAAAACUAGUUUAUUUUUUAUUUUUAUUUACUCCUUCCACUGGAAUGUAAGCUCUUUGAGGUGGGGGCUCUGUCUAUGUUUUUGAUAGUUAUACACUGACUGCUUAGAGUAGUGCUUGUCCUGCAGCAUGCUUCCCUCAAAUACAUAUUAUAUUCAGACAUUUCUAAAAUUGUAUUAUGUGCAUAAUGGGUGCCAAAUGCCACGGCAGAUUCUAGGGUCGACCACCAAGAAAAAUGCAGGCUUUCUGUACAAAAGAUUCUGACAAUCAAUAAAAAGAGAGAUAAGUGAAAAGAUUACUACAAUAUAUUAUACUUUGUUAAGUGUAAAUAUGGAAAGGCGUACAUGGAAACACAAAGAAGUCUUCCAAAAACAAAAAUAGGAGAAUUAUGGAAAAUGACCCAUAGUAAGUGAUGUCUUGGGUAAGAUUUAAGACGAAGAAGAAUUGAACAAAUGAAGGGGCAACAGAACAAUGGCUGGAGGAGUAUCCAGGCAACUAACUCUUGAAAGGCCAUGUAAACUCAGUUUUUACAAAUGGACUUUAAUUUAAAGGUAACAAGUUUAUAGGAAUAUGUCAUAGAAGAGGUGUGUUUUAGAAAGAUUUUUGAUUGUCGUGUGGACAAUAGGUGGGAAAAACACUGAAAGAAUCCAGUAGGAAAUAAAGCAAAUUUAAAAUAAGCCAAUGACUUUGCAGCUGAAGAAACUUAAAUGGAUUUGAGAAAUAUUUAAGAAGCAAGAUGAAAAGCAUUAAGAGUCUUAUGGGUUUAGGGGAUGGGGAAGAAAGAGCAAGUAGAGCUAAGGGUAAUUCCCAGUAUAUGGCUUAGAAAUUUGGAUGGAUCAUGGUGUCAUGAAAUAAGAUAAAAAAUACAGGACAAGUUGUUUAUGGGGGUUGGUGUUUGGGAAGACUCAUAAAAUUAAUUAGGAACAUAUUUAACUUGAGAUUCUAGGGUCACUCUAAAGUGGAAGUGCCCAGUAGAAAAUGAAAUACAUGUAUAUGGUGCUAAGGAGAGUGAUGCAGGAUGAGAGAAGGCGCUUGGAAGUCAUUAACACAGAGAUGGAAGGAAGGUCAUCAGGGAGAAGGAGAACAUGAGAAGAGGGCUGAGGAUGGAAU
rnacentral:lncRNA from 10 species